rnacentral:tRNA from 1 species
GACAGUUUGGCCAAGUGGUCUAAGGCGCUGGCUUCAGGCGUCAGUGCGCAAUGGCGUGGGUUCGAAUCCCACAGCAGUUA